rnacentral:misc_RNA from 1 species
GUAGGUGAACCUGCGGAAGGAUCAUUACCGAGUUAGGGUCGCCUUCCAGGUGCCCGACUUCCCAACCCUGUGUCAAAAUUACCUCAGUUGCUUCGGUGGGCCGGGAGCGACCAACUGGCUUAGUAGGCCAGGCUGGCUCCGCGACCGGUGGCCGGGGGAUACCCCGGCGGCAGAGCGCCCACCGAUGGCCUCCACAAAACUCUUGAAACCCAAACCUGUCGUCUGAAUUUACAUGAUAUUAAUCAAAAAC